rnacentral:sRNA from 1 species
AUUGUGUUCACCUGACUUGAGAUUGGGAAGUAUAGCCUUGUUAAAGCUUUGCUAAACAGGACUUCUUCUUAUGACUUCAACCACAUCCUGUGGUAGAUGUCACAUUAUGGGGCUCAAAAAGUCAUAGAAAAAAGUCUUCAGUUCUCCUCUGUUUUAGUCACACUCUUUGUGCUAUGGAAGUGCUUCCUCUUGCACUACCUUCUCCACCUCGUCAAUUAUCAGAAUCAGAAAAAAGUCGAAUGGAGGACCAGGAGGAAAAUACUUUAAGAGAGUUGCGGUUGUUUCUCAGGGAUGUAACCAAGAGGCUGGCCACAGAUAAACGCUUUAACAUCUUCAGCAAACCGGUGGAUAUUGAAGAGGUCUUGUUUCAGUAGUGUGCAAACAGUGAAGUUGAACUGGCUAAAAGAAAAAAAUAUUGACAUCUUUUUUUGGAAGGAAAAAAAAGCAAAGGCAUGGAUGAAUAUUACCCCUAGCCUAUAAAAUUUUAAUCCAUGUGAUAACUACCGAUGUCAUCAGCAAACAUCUGGUGACUUUUGGAUGAAAUUAGCGACCAAUUUAUAUUGGCCUCUUAAUUAUUAUUAACCUUUGUGGUCUCUUACUCUUCGAUUUAAGAGGAUUAAAAGUUGCCUUA